UGAAUACGAGAUGCUACGGCGUCGAAGCAGUCUAUGUCAUACUUCCAAGAAAAGCUUGCACUGUCAUAAACAAAUAAUGCCUGUACCAUAACCGACACAGGUGGGUAGGUAGAGUAUACUAAGGGGCGCGAGAUAACUCUCUCUAAGGAACUCGGCAAAAUGACUCCGUAACUUCGGGAGAAGGAGUGCCUUAUUUUAUAAGGUUGCAAUAACAAGAUCCAAGCAACUGUUUACCAAAAACACAGGUCUCCGCUAAGUCGUAAGACGAUGUAUGGGGGCUGACGCCUGCCCAGUGCCAGAAGGUUAAAGAAGUUGGUUAGCAUCCGCGAAGCUGAUAACUGAAGCCCUGGUGAACGGCGGCCGUAACAAUAACGGUCCUAAGGUAGCGAAAUUCCUUGUCGGGUAAGUUCCGACCCGCACGAAAGGCGUAAUGAUUUGGAUACUGUCUCAGAGAGGGGCUCGGUGAAAUAGACUUGUCUGUGAAGAUGCGGACUACCUGCACCAGGACAGAAAGACCCUAUGAAGCUUUACUGUAACUUGGAAUUGAAAUUGGACUUUACUUGCGCAGUAUAGGUGGGAGGCGUUGAGAAUAUUCUUGCGGGAAUGUUGGAGCCAUCAGUGAGAUACCACUCUUGUAAUGUUAGAUUUCUAACUUUGUAUCAUUAUCUGGUCAAAGGACAGUUUCAGGCGGGCAGUUUGACUGGGGCGGUCGCCUCCCAAACGGUGACGGAGGCGCACAAAGGUUUCCUCUGAACGGGUAGAAAUCGUAUCUAGAGUGUAAAGGCAUAAGGAAGCUUGACUGUGAGACCUACAAGUCGAGCAGGGACGAAAGUCGGUCUUAGUGAUCUGACGGUGCUGAGUGGAAAGGCCGUCACUCAACGGAUAAAAGUUACUCUAAGGAUAACAGGCUGAUCUCCCCCAAGAGUUCACAUCGACGGGGAGGUUUGGCACCUCGAUGUCGGCUCAUCGCAUCCUGGGGCGGUAGUACGUCCCAAGGGUUGGGCUGUUCGCCCAUGAAAGCGGUACGCGAGCUGGGUUCAGAACGUCGUGAGACAGUUCGGUCCAUAUCCGGUGUAGGCGUUAGAAUAUUGAGAGGAGCCUUCUUUAGUACGAGAGGACCGAGAAGGACAUACCUCUGGUGUACCAGUUAUCGUGCCAACGGUAAACGCUGGGUAGCUAUGUAUGGAGUGGAUAACCGCUGAAAGCAUCUAAGUGGGAAGCCCACCUCAAGAUAAG
rnacentral:rRNA from 1 species